AUACUAGGAUUCCAGAAAUUGGAAAAUCUACCCGUUCAGAAGAAAGAAACGAUACCCUGAUCACUCCUCCACAGGUACCUGAGGGAAAUCUGUGCGGACAAAACCAACUAAACGUGACAACCCUGAAAAAUGGAAAGAAGUAUCAUUUCUCCAGACGACAGGCGAGUUCUUUAUAUUUUUAAAUCUUUAAAGACUAAAAAAAAAAUGAUCUCUAGGUCGACUGGUACACAGCAAAAGAAAUCUGCGAAAAUAACACAAUGCAUUUGGCCUCCCCGAAAACCAUGGAAGAAUUUAAAACUCUUCGGGACCAUUUGAUGGACAAAGAAAUCUUUGAUUCGAAGUGGCUCUCAGGGUCGGACGUGGGCCGGAUGGGAAAGGGUUUCGUGUGGCGCC